GAUCCCAGGAUUUUCUCUACAGUGUUCACUUCUGGUGAAGCAUAUGGGGCUUCUGUUUGGAAGAUUCCUGAGCUCUAUGGACAGUCGAAUGCCCCACAACUCGAACAAUUGGUCUCCCUUGACAAGCAUUCUUUUAAGAUCAAGUGCGUCCUUUGGUGGCCAUCUGGGAAGCAUGAUAGACUAAUCAGCAUUGAUGAAGGAAAUCUUUUCCUUUGGAGUAUAGAUUCGUCCAAUAAAGUAGCCAAGGUAAGCUCCUUAAAGAACCUU